AUCAUCUCCUAUUCCCCUCCUGUCCCAAUUCCUGCUUCUCCCUCACUAGUUUCCACUCCACUUUCAAGUUUCUUUUUUCUUUUCCUUCCCCCUCUCUUUGCUCUUUCCUUCCCUCCUCCUUUCCUUUUCUGGUGACUGAACUGAGUUUUGUUAGAGUUAACAGGAGCACCGGCACUUUAAGAGUGCCUGCCCCUUUUCCCCAGCCCCAGUUACUACUAACUGCCAAUAGCUCCUUGGGGAGGGUGUGCCCCUCCCCCCACCAGCAACAGUUAACUGCCUUUAAGUCCUUAGGGGUAGACCCUGAAGCAGCUUAACUUGCCUCACCUGGAGCCCCUGGGAUCACCACCACACAGGCUUUGCAGGGUCGGAGUCUCUUGAAUUCACACAUGCUGUCCAAGUAAAUGGUUUUCCAGACCGUCAGCAAUGCUUCUUAAAGGCAGGGACUCUCUGUUACUGGGAAAACAGCUCCUGGGCAAGCAAGAAAAGAUGGAAGGCCGCAACAAGACCUGCAUCGACGGCCCUUGACGGUUUCUGUUUUAGGACCACAAGAGCAAGUGGGAGCGUGAAGUGACCAUUUCAUUGCCAUUCCUGUUCAUGAACAAGUAGAGGCCCAGGCAAGUUCCUGCUUGUGCUCUGGCUCUUGUGCUCUGGCUCAGAGCUCUUGAGCAUCACGGCUCAGGGAGUCUUUGUUUUGCCAGUCUCUACUGCCCUCUUGUGGUAUUCAGCUCCUGGAGCGAUUGCACCCAGAUGAAGAUGUUUUGCCUGAGAUUUGCUAAGGUUCAAGGGAAGUAGCCUGUGGCAGCAGCGGAGGAGUCCUGAUAAAUAAUGCAAAGUGGUGCCAGUGAAGUGGUCCAUCUUCCCAGACAGACCUUUACAGAAAUGACAGGAACCACAAACACGAGAGAGCCAAAUGUUUGCCAGUGUCAGUGGGAGUUUUAAAACUGCUAGAUGCUUCACUUAGAGGAGACUGCAAACCUCAAACGGUAACAGAGCGUUUGUGUCUUCUGAAUGUUCUAAAACCUUCUUCCACGCUCAGACACUGCAAGCCACACAACUGAAAGUGGAUCCCAAGGGGGGCGGGCAGUGGGCAUUGCCAGGGACCCCCCUGAGUGAGCUGAGAAGCACAGCGUGGGGAACGGUGAGAUGGUGGCUGUUUUCACAUGAGGGCAGGAUUCAAAUGAAAAAGUCAAUAUUGGGAUGUUCAGCUAGAAAUUAAAAAGCUAUAUAAGAAGCCAGACCAGAAAAAGCCAAACUAGUAUCCAAGCUGUCCAAGCUGGGACUGGCACCAAAGCUUGCUUCUCUCCAUGGUUGUAUAGCUAGGAAAAAUGCUCCGCCAUCCCAUACCAAUCCCGGGUCCUCCCCAAAAGGGGCUCGAACUUGUGUUUUUUACACUGAGGUCUUUGUUUCUGUUUUUUUUUUUUUUUUUAAUGAGUUUGCCUCUGAAAUGCUGGAUCCACUUGUUCAGUCACUGAAAUGUAGAGAUUUUCUAAAAUGUGUCUAAUUGACAGAACAAGCAUUUUAAAAAGGAGAGACAAUGGCCAUUAAAUUUAGCACAGAACUUCCACAAUGUUCUGUGUUAGCCCAUGUGCAUGGAACCUUUUAAAACCAUCCUGGUUUUUAAAGUCCAGGCAUCAAAUUAUAGCUCUGUGAGAUACCUGCCUCCAGGAUUGGCCACCAUGGCACUGCUCCGUGUUCUUUGAAUUCUGAGGCCAUCAGCUCCCAGGGAAGGAGUGAGGCUGAGCACGGGUACUGAACCCUUUCAGUCAUGUAGGGCAUCCUUACUUUCUCUGGGACCUGAGCUUUGUCUUCUGUAAUAUGGACUGUAAUGCGACCUCAUCAGAAAUUGACUGGAUCUUUUAUUUCUACUGGACCGAAACUGGAUGCUGCUAUUAUGGCAGUGUCUAGCCAUACAAGUGGCAGGUGGCAAGCAGAAUCGGAAGAGAUUCAGGAUCGUUAGAGAGGAAGAGAUGAAGCCUCAGCAGGAAGACUCCCAAAGAGGCAGACACCGAGAGCCAGACAGUUCCCGGGGCUCUACUGCCAGUGUUGGUCUUCAGAGGAAUGGGGGAGUCUGGAGAAGGAGUUUCAGUGCAAGACAGAGGUGUAAAUCCAUACCUUUUUCUGUGUGUGUAUGUAGGGAGACGCUAGCCUGAUAUAAGAGACUGCUGGGGUAGGAGUCACUUUUCUGUGGUGGUCUGAGUUUUUGGGGUCCUGGAAGGCCAUGGAAAGUUGAGGUGUAGACUUUGUUGCAGGGUGUAGCAGAGAGGAGGAAGCCAAAGAGAAAGUGGGUUCAAGGGUCAGAGAGCCUCCAACAGAAGAGGGAAGGUGUGCAGGUAGAAAGGCUUGCCACGCACCAAAAGUCCUGGGUCCUCCGGGGUGAGCCAAGGGCUUCCAAAGUAUUUGGAUAGUCCAAGAAAGAGCAAAUGGGAUCUAACCAAUGUGUUAUUGUGACCUUCAUGGAUGCUGUGCUGGGGACAGGAACAGUGUGGGGUACAAAAAGGUAACAUCAGAUAAAGAAUGGGAGGGACAUGGUGGAACUGCUUCCUGCACUCCAACCCUACCCCCAACCCAAGCCAUCAGCCUUAUGCAAAUGUGGCCGCUCACCUAUGGCCCUGGCUGAGACCAAAGAUCAUGCUUAUUUCUGUGUGGCCUGUCGGCUGAGAGACACACAGUCUCUAGGGGCAGGCAUGAGCUAGUUGCUGACAAAUUUAUCUUCAGAAAAGCCCACAAGGUAAAGAUUAGUUUGUGGCCAAGCAAGAGCAAAGCCAUGCUGAGGUGUGAGGGGCUGACCACACUCCAGCUUGCUGAGGUGUCAGGUGCGCCAUACCCGCACUGGUGACAUUUCCUGCCUCAGGCAGAACAAGCUAGGAUGUUUCUCUUGGGGCCAAUCAUGAAAUGGGCACAAGAAAUACAUAGAAUAAGAGCAAAUGGAAUGCGCUUUGGGAGGAGGCUCUGUGGUGUAAGACAUACUGAACUGAGCUAUGCGGUCUCUCUGUUCUGGGGUAGACGUGGAGCACCCACCCACUCACCCACCCGCUGCCUAGAUUUGUUGUAGUUUGGAUGUGAACUGUCCCCACAAGCUCAUGUGUUUGAAUACUUGGUUCCCACUGGUGGCCCUGUCUGGGAAUGUUUGGGAACAUUUAGCAGGGAGAGUUUGGCUGGAGGCCAUGGGUCCGUGGGGAUGGGCCUAGCCCUGCUUCCUCUCUAGCCUCUGUUCUCUGUGCAUAGAAGCAAUGUGGGUGACCAGCGUCUUCUAGCCCUGCUUCCUCUCUAGCCUCUGUUCUCUGUGCAUAGAAGCAAUGUGGGUGACCAGCGUCUUCACCUCUCCCAGCAUGCCUGCCACACUGUGACCUUUCCCUCCCUCAACUUGCUGUUUGCUGGGCGUUUUGUUAGAGCGAUAAGAAAAACAACUCGUGAUACCUAGUGUAGAAAUGGGGGCUUGAGACCCAGGGAGAAAAAAGAUUAGUCCAUUUAGAGAUGGCUACCAUGGAAAAGAGCGUCACAGACAGACUCUUGAUUCCUACAUCCUGGGGUCGGAGUGAAGGGAGAACCCUAGGAAGAAGUCUAGUCUAAGCACCUUUUAUAUUUACUUGCUUAACUGUCCAAGCAGCCUUGCAAGCCUGGGGCUCUUAUCUCUCCCAUAUUGGACUGAGGAGUCUGAGGAGAGGCGGGCCAGCCAAAUGACAGAGUGCCAAGGCCACACAGCCUGGCAGUGGCAAAACUGGGCUUUAGCUCAGGAAUGUGACACUUCCUGUUACUGUACCAUGCUGCUUCCUGGAAUGCCAAGGGAAGUGAGAGUGAGUGACCAGCAGUAGAGAGGACCAAGCUCUUCAGAGAAGGGGGUAGGUGUCCACCAGAGUUGGGCAGAGCCUCAGUUUACCUGCUGGGAGGAGGAUCUGGAGACCCGAUAGCUUUGCUGCCUCAUUUCCCCUGCUCCCUCUCUAUUAAAGAAUAUUUGUUUAUGUGUA